CCCCGCGUGCGUCUCCUCUUCCUUCCCUCACGUCGCCGCCGGCCCAUAUCGAAGACAGAGAGAAAGAGCAGGGCACUCACGCAACCCUUUCUCACUGCCGGCUCGUCUCCCCUCCCACCUCAGCGCCGCUGCCUCUGUCUGCUCCGCCUCACUCUCCUCCGUCCCUCAGCGCGCCACGCCAUCUCCACAGGGUCCAGCCUCCACCGAAGCCGAUCUCUCCGCUGAGCACGCCCCGCACCGCCGUUGCUGUCGUGGGCUCCUCGGCACCGCUGCAGACGGGGAGGCGGCCUGUGGGAGGGCCCUAAAUGUGGCCGACGACUCCAUCCCCGCUCGCAUGUGGCGGCGGCCAGCCCAGCUCCGCCUCUUCCGACCCAUCUUCUUGGGCAUCAUUGGUAGUGAAGGAGGACUCUUGCAGGUGCAAAAUAUUAGCAGAGGAAAAUCUAUAUGGUUUGAAGGGUUCAGAUUCAUAAUCUGAUACUAUUAGGACCCUUGAUCCUUCAACCAUUAUGAGAUUUCAAGGCAGAUAGUGCAUCUUGUACUGCUUACCUUGAUUUAAUCAAUGCCUUCUGUAGCUUAAGGUUUAAUUAGCAGACUACUAGUGCUUUGAUAAUCUCCUUUCUGAAUUCCAUACUUGGUACAACAAUGUUCCUCACCCGGUCACCCCAAACUGGUGGAAUAUAAGAAGGAUCAGAACUGGGUCACAAUGUCUGGCGAUUAUCUUGUUUUCUCUGGAGGCAGAACUCAAUUCAAAUAUGGUAUUGCAAGAUAUAUACAGUUUGCAGAACAGGUGCUACGUGACUUCACUGGUCGCGUUAUUGACUGGGAUUUCGAGUACGACAACUUCACAAAAAAUGCUUCGCCGCGGAGCUCGAAGGCUGCUACUAUUACUUCUUGCGCCAUUAUUUGGCAACGUACUGCUGCGGUGUCCAGAGAUGACACCAUUAGUAUGUGUCAGUUGUAUUGGUGACGCUGAGCACAAAACUGUGAAUCUACUCCCUUUUGCUCUAGACUGUGUUUGGUUGUGGCGCCAACUGGCUAUCUCGACAACAUUGACGCUGAAGUUAUCGAGCCUCCGAAGAAUGGGAUGUAGAUGUCGUAGAACUUGUCUGUGAUGUUAUCAAGCAUUCACGGAAUCCAAAUGUCAUAGUUUCUAGAAAUGGGCGUGAGCUAUUGGAAUGCCCCAUGUGUUUGGUUCCCAUGUAUCCUCCAGUUCAUCAGGCCAAGGGUUCAUAAUUGUCGUCCAACUUGCAGCAGUGAAUUGGGUAACAUAAGAUGCCUUGCUUUGGAGAAGGUUGGCGCCUCUCUAGAGGUUCUGUAAAAGUUCCAGAACUUUGGAUGCUUGGGAAUAUAUCCUUAUUAUUGCAAGCUGAAAAAUGAAUCAGAGUGCCAAUACAGACCAUAUACUGGCCCACAUGCAGGUUCUUAAUGCACUGUCGCUGGUGACAUUCCAUAUCAAAUUUCAGAGUGUUCUUUCUGUAGGUUUUAGAUUUUCGUGGAUUUAUGUAAUGGAAUCUUGAUAUGUCGGGAAUGCGUCGAGAAAAUGCAACAUGACUUGAUGUUUGAAGUUACAGCUUUACAGGGGCAUCGACUCAAAUUUGCAACGACGAAUUUUAUACCCCUGCAAACUGUUUAGCUCAGUCUGGGAUGCAAUGAUUCAGUUUGGACAUCCAAUAUCAGGUGGGUUGAGGUUCUGGAUGUUUUACAUAGGUAGUUGUACCUAAUGCAAAAUCCUCACCUUAGUGAACUACUGUUUAGUAUGUGACUGACUAAACUGAACAAGAUCACCUAUAUAUCUCUGAACUAAAAUACACUUGAUUUUUCUUGCUUGCCGCCCUGCCUCACCCCAUUUCCUUCCCUUGGCCACCGCUCCACCCAUCCGCUCUGCUCCAUUUCUAUGCGAAACCCUAGAGAUGGUGGCGACUGAUUGAUGUGGGCCUGGCGGUAGCGACAACGGCUUAAAGCAGGAAUAGUAGGAGAAAGGAAGACAGACAUAGAUCCAUGCAGAGCAUGAGGCGGGAAGCCAGAAUAGAUCGAUGUCGGGGCGUGAGGACCAUCUCGUCAUUCUAAAAAAUACCACUUACACCAAAUGUCAGUAUAGUAUCAUGUUCAUGUAAGAAUCUAAGAGAUUUAGGAACAUAGGGAGUAGAUGGUAAUUAUAGACAUCAGAGAGGAGUAAAUUUGAUCACAUAUACUAUAUAGGGACUUCGUAGAUGCAUUCUAGCAGCAGAAGCACAAAACCCUGUAUGGAUAAAAUUCACUUUUAUUAAAGUACCAACAUGAAUAUGGCAGUGCGGCGUUGAUGAGCAGUGGCGGGCGAGGCGUGGGAGGUGACGAUGACGAAUGAUAUGGUGAUUAGCAGGUAAAAGAAGCCGUUCAUUUCCAUUGCUCAGCGGGGGCCUCUUCGGGGACUCAUCUAGCAUCAGGCGUUAUUGGAGGAGAGAUGGCUCUCAUGGAUUAGGAUGUUGCACAUCAUUGACGGGUCAUUCCAUGGAUUAGGACGUUGCACAUCAUUGACGGGUCGUUCCGCACACUGCUCUUGUUGUUUGUUCUUGACAUAUCAUGUGUGGUGCUGUACUUUCUGAAUCAGUUGGUGGUUUAUAUUAGCAAGUACUAUCAUUCUGUCACUAUUCUGUCACUUUUGAACCACCGAUAUUGUAUGUGAUCAGUCCUCUAAACUAUAAAACUAUUGCUUUUGUGUUCA